GUGCCAGCAGCCGCGGUAAUACCGGCAGUUCGAGUGAUGGUCGAUAUUAUUGGGCCUAAAGCGUUCGUAGCUGGCCAGUCAAGUCUGUUGGGAAAUCCACGUGCCCAACACGUGGGCGUCCAACAGAAACUGACUGGCUUGGGACCGGAAGACCCGAAGAGUACGUCUGGGGUAGGAGUGAAAUCCUGUAAUCCGAGACGGACUACCGAUGGCGAAAGCAUCUCGAGAAAACGGAUCCGACAGUGAGGGGCGAAAGCUAGGGUCUCGAACCGGAUUAGAAACCCCAGUAGUCC
rnacentral:rRNA from 1 species